UGGGGAAUAUUGCACAAUGGGCGAAAGCCUGAUGCAGCAACGCCGCGUGCGGGAUGACGGCCUUCGGGUUGUAAACCGCUUUCAGCAGGGACGAAGGUUUUCUGACGGUACCUGCAGAAGAAGCACCGGCUAACUACGUGCCAGCAGCCGCGGUGAUACGUAGGGUGCGAGCGUUGUCCGGAAUUAUUGGGCGUAAAGAGCUUGUAGGCGGUCCGUUGCGUCGGAAGUGAAAACUCAGGGCUUAACCCUGAGCCUGCUUUCGAUACGGGCGGACUUGAGGGAUGUAGGGGAGAACGGAAUUCCUGGUGGAGCGGUGGAAUGCGCAGAUAUCAGGAGGAACACCAGUGGCGAAGGCGGUUCUCUGGACAUUUCCUGACGCUGAGAAGCGAAAGCGUGGGGAGCAAACAGGCUUAGAUACCCUGGUAGUCCACGCCGUAAACGGUGGGCACUAGGUGUGGGACCCAUUCCACGGGUUCCGUGCCGUAGCUAACGCAUUAAGUGCCCCGCCUGGGGAGUACGGCCGCAAGGCUAAAACUCAAAGGAAUUGA
rnacentral:rRNA from 1 species